rfam:Pteropus alecto contig99651, whole genome shotgun sequence.
GGCUCCAUAGCGUAGUGGUUAGCACAUCUGCUUUACAUGCAGAAGGUCCUGUGUUCGUGCCCCAGGUAGAGCCA